rnacentral:lncRNA from 1 species
UGAAGGUCUAUGUUAAGGGAAGAGCAAGUGGAGUUGUAGGUGGGGUGGGAUGUGACUUUCCAGCAGCAAUUGCACAGUCCAGGUGUUGUUGUAAUCGCUUACAAUGACACUGUAAGAGAUUACCAGUACCUGAACAGAUUUUGUACCAAAAGUUCGUGCUUGCUAGCCACAAAUGACAUAGUGGCUCCUUAACAUUCCUUACUGUAGUGUUUUU